rnacentral:rRNA from 1 species
AAUUUUGGACAAUGGGGGAAACCCUGAUCCAGCCAUCCCGCGUGUAUGAUGAAGUCCUUCGGUUUGUAAAGUACUGUUGGCAGAGAAGAAAAGGUAUCUCCUAAUACGAGAUACUGCUGACGGUAGCUGUAGAAUAAGCACCGGCUAACUACGUGCCAGCAGCCGCGGUAAUACGUAGGGUGCAAGAGGUAAUCGGAAUUACUGGGCGUAAAGAGUGUGUAGGCGGUUCGGAAAGAAAGAUGUGAGAUCCCAGGGCUCAACCUUGGAACUGCAUUUUUAACUGCCGAGCUAGAGUAUGUCAGAGGGGGGUAGAAUUCCACGUGUAGCAGUGAAAUGCGUAGAGAUGUGGAGGAAUACCGAUGGCGAAGGCAGCCCCCUGGGAUAAUACUGACGCUCAGACACGAAAGCGUGGGGAGCAAAC